rnacentral:rRNA from 1 species
UACGUAGGGGGCAAGCGUUGUCCGGAAUCAUUGGGCGUAAAGCGCGUGUAGGCGGCCCAGUAAGUCCGCUCUGAAAGCCCGGGGCUCAACCCCGGGAGGCGGGUGGAUACUGCUGGGCUCGAGUCCGGAAGAGGCGAGUGGAAUUCCUGGUGUAGCGGUGGAAUGCGCAGAUAUCAGGAGGAACACCGGUGGCGAAGGCGGUUCUCUGGGCCUUACCUGACGCUGAGGAGCGAAAGCGUGGGGAGCGAACAGG